rnacentral:sRNA from 1 species
GCUGAUCGCUGUCCUCCUCCUCCCCCUCAGGCGGCGCUGGCGGCGGCCCUGGGACCCGCGGAAGCCGGCAUGCUGGAGAAGCUGGAGUUCGAGGACGAAGCAGUAGAAGACUCAGAAAGUGGUGUUUACAUGCGAUUCAUGAGGUCACACAAGUGUUAUGACAUCGUUCCAACCAGUUCAAAGCUUGUUGUCUUUGAUACUACAUUACAAGUUAAAAAGGCCUUCUUUGCUUUGGUAGCCAACGGUGUCCGAGCAGCGCCACUGUGGGAGAGUAAAAAACAAAGUUUUGUAGGAAUGCUAACAAUUACAGAUUUCAUAAAUAUACUACAUAGAUACUAUAAAUCACCUAUGGUACAGAUUUAUGAAUUAGAGGAACAUAAAAUUGAAACAUGGAGGGGUAAGCACUAUUGGAUAUUUAAAAUCUUUUAGUAUCGGGAAAGCUAUGUUUAGUAUGAAAAGUAUGUUUUAAUUUUGCACAUCCUUUUCUCUCUGCUCCAUAAAAUGUUAUAUAAAACAUUCUCUUUAUUUCUGUUAAUUUUGAUAGUAUGCUACUGUACUAAAGCUGAACAAUAUAAGUAUUGUCCCUUCUGUUUAUAGACAUGUAUAGGACACCUUCAGCAGGCAAGGCCUUAUCCUAGGGCCAGGAAUGUGAA